rnacentral:lncRNA from 1 species
UUGCUAACUCUAGCAUUCUUGUUCGUUACAAUUCUUGUUCUUAUUGCCCCACUUUACGUUAACUUUACACGUUGUCACUUUCUUCAUUCUUUACAUCACUUUAGUUCUUUACAUCACACUAACUCUAGUGUCAUUUCACAUUAGCUUUAUCGAAUGCCACUCGAUCUAUGUCAUUGUGUCACUCUAUUCUUUUGCUCACUUUGGGUGCUCACUUUUAUCUCAUGCAUACACAUAGGGUUUUCGAUAUCGCAUAGUUCUCGAUCAUCAUAUUAUGCAAGUUGUACUCACAAUCAUGCAUCAUUACAUUUCCAUCAUUACUUUACCCUAAAAUGCAUGCAACAAAUAUGUAACAUAUGCUCAAUUGAAUGACACAUUAGGCAUAGAGGGCAGUUCAAUAAGUUUGAGAAGCACCACCUACCUCGUAGGCUUUCAAAGGUGCUCCGAUGAUUUGCUUAGGAUUUUUAAUCGCCCGGUUCACUACCUGCGGCAAAACGAAGCCCUAUUAGGCCAUUUUGCUCAUAUCUUUACUUUGGCUUUUCGUAACGUUAAUCCGAGCGCACCAACGCGUCGGAAAUACCCCCAAUUAGGUUUUUGAAGGGUCAAUUUCACUUAGAAAUCUCCAUGAGCAAAAGCCCCAAUUUGGUGCCCUAGCUCCAAUGCAUAUACAAAACCUAGGGUUUGAUCUUAUUGGGAAGCAAAAAUAGCUUCAUUAUACUCUAAAUAGUCCAGUAAAACCAUUUCUAGUUCACUCCAAACGCUAGUUUGGAUUUCACCAUGAGAGGUGAUGAAGCUCACCUCAAGCUUCACCAUUUUCAUGGUCUUGAUCUCAAAGGAAGCAAAAAGAAAGCUCCAAAGACUCUAAAUACUCCAUUAAAACCAUUUCUAGCUUAAUCCAAAGCCCAUUUUAGGAUUUUACUACAAUAGGGUUCAAAGCUUACCUUGUAAGCUCUCCUUUCUUGCACUAGAGAGGAAGAAGAUGAAGCCCCCUUGCUCUUUGAUCUUCUUCUUCACUUUCUUCUCCUUCUUUUCCUUCUUUUCUUCCUUUCUUCUUCUUCUCCUUUGUCUUCUAGAGAGANUUCGGCGUGAUUGAAGCUUCGUGGAUUCGAAGUGGAGGCGUUCGUGGAUUCGGACGUGAGGGCGUGGACAACCCGAAGGGUAGCGCGAAGAUUCAUAGGAGGUUAAGAGAGGUUGAGUCCGUGGAGUCGGCAAUCACCUUGUAAUCUUUUCUCUUAGUGAAUUGUUUUUUCGCGUGUUGGUCCCGUGGGUUUUUCUCCAAGUUGGAGUUUUCCCCCGUAAAUCUCGAUGUGCUUUUUAUUUUCCGCAUUUAUUUUUAUUGCAUCAAGAUUUGUGGUUUUUGGCCGUUCACCUAUUCACCCCCCUCUAGGUGAUAGAUACAAUCUAGAUAGAUCCUUGGGCUCCUCAAAACUUUCAUAAUAUCCAAAACUAGGUUUUCAUCUCCAAAAAUCCCACAAAACAUGAACUAAAGGAGAGAUCAAAGCUACUAACCUCUCAAUAAGCUCCAAAGCAAGCUAGGAAUGUGCUAGGGUUGGAGUUCUUUCCUCAAACAAGCUCAAAUCCUUCUCUCCAAGGCUUCUCCAAGGUCCAAAUGGCAAACCCCAUGAAGAAGAAGCAAAAGGAGGAGAUUAAUCCAAGAAAUCUCACAAGAAAAGAGAUGAAAUCUAGAGAGAGGUUGAGGAGGAGACUCACCUCUUUCUCCUCAGGUUCCCAGUACAAAAAGCCCCUUAAAGGGGUGGGGGGUUAUUUAUAGAGAUGUAACAAUCUAAAAAAGAACCCUCAAAAACAUACAGACUGCAUCUGCACUGCGUACCGGUACGCGGGCUGGAGUACCGGUGCCCCACGACCGAACGCGCAAACCCAAGCCUCUGUCAAGCAGACAGACUGCAGUGUACCGGUACCCGCGCGAUGCAGUACCGGUACCAGGCUCUAGUACCGGUACUCGGGCAAUGCAGUACCGGUAUUCUGCCUCGCAGAGCUCAAACCCGAGAGCUCUCAUCUCGGUUACGCGACGUGGUUCCGAUACCCCCUCUCUAGUAUCGGUACCCAACACCCCAAAACCUGUAGUUUGGAGGUUUUGGUGCUAAGUUCUCACCCUCACUCCUCAAGACGCGAGUAAUAGGUCGAACGCAGUCAACGACCCUCGAGAAUACCAGGAAAAUCUCCAUAUACUAUUCCAACACUAGAACCUUGCAGUUUGCUAAAGUUCAGUGUGCUACACUAUUCCUAUUUAGAAUGUCUUGAGUUGUACCGAUUGUGACGCAUUGGGCAGACAGGAAAAACUCUGUCCAUUCGGCGGGUCUGGCGCACGCACUCGUACAGGCCUCCUGCCUCCUACUUAGGAAAGGUACAACAGAGCGUGACAGAAUAAAUCCAGAUGAUAGUUUUACGAAGUCCAAUUAUUAACAUCUAGCUACAUCGGACACACCAAACAAAAAACAAAAAUAAACUCAAAUAGCAACUAUUCUAACUUUCACUCAGUCCCACCCCCGUCUGGUAAAUCAAGUAAGCAACCAUACAUCGUACUAGUCGGCUUAAGCAUACAAAUAAAUAUAUAAUAAAUGCUUUGAUGUAAAUUUUCAUACAAAAAAUUAAUUUACGCAACUGGUCUGUAAUUUGCACAGAAAAUAGAGAUUAUUAGAAUGUAAAAUUCAGAUCAAAUAGGGACUAUAAAUUUACAAAGUAUUUUUUCUUUCAGUAAAUAAACGAAAUAAAAAUUUAGACUCCGAUAACUAAUUAUAUUGUGUAAUCCGUUGGCGAGAUUUAGAGGCACCUGUAGAAGAAAAAUAGAACAGAGGCGCCCAAAGCUGCAUAUACAAAAUAGAGGCGCUCAAAAGCACAAAUACAGAACAAAAGCAUGGAUAGGCACAGGCACCCGAAGGCACAAUAAUACAGAGAUGAAGCUAGUUUUUAUAAUAGAAUACAUGUCGACAUGGCCAACAUUAAUAUAGUAGAUUACCAAGAGACAUUAUAAUUUAAAAUACUUAUGCAGUCACUAAUUUACAGAACAGAUUAUCAAAUUCUAAAAUUCUUUUGCUAAAAGAAUCUUUCAAUCACAGUUGAAACUCAGUUUACAAAAAUAUUUAAUAAUAUGCUUAAUCAUUAAUUUUAAAAUCUACAGAAUAAAGAUUUUCACACAUUCACAAUAGUAACCUAAAUUAUUUUGCAAAAACACUAAUGGGUGUCCGUUCGCUUACCUCAAAAGCAGCAUCUAAGCUAAGAAGCUAUCCAGUCGAAAAUGCAAAGGAAGUCAAUCACUGGAACCUAAAUUAAGAAUUAUGAUUUUUUAUAAGCUACUAAAAAUAAAAUUACAAAGAAGAUAUAAGCAUUUAGACAGAAAAGCUUAUACAAAAAUUGUGAGGAAGUGAAUUCUCGAAAUACGAGGAUUUGACUUCAUCCCGAAUCGACCAAGGGUCGCGUUGGUGUACUUUGGAAAAACCAAAGAUAUUAAAAUCACCAAAAGUGCAUUGGAAACGAGUCCACGAGAGCAAAUAGUGCGAAAUCUGCACUGGAGCAAAACUGCUCUCGGGGACCGGUCCCUGGCAGGGAGAGACCGGUCCCAUCAGCUGGUGUCGCGGGGGUUGCUUGAGGCAACCGGUCCCUGGCAGUGAGGGACCGGUUCCCGAACGUGAUCCCAGCGCAAAAAGCCAAAAAUUUGGCUAAGUCCUGAAGUCCCAGCUCUCGGGAACCGGUCUCUCAGGAAGGAACCGGUCUCCCGAGGACCGGUCUCUCUGGGAGAGACCGGUACCCGAACGCGUGACCCGAGCUGAAGCUCUCGGGGACCGGUCCCAAGUCGGGGAGACCGGUCCCUCCGCGCGCAGAACGCCCAGUGAGGGCUGUGCACAGAGUGAAAAGUGGAGGGGGCCAGCUGGAUAUUGUUACAUUAGAGGGCUUUUUAGUCCCUCUCUCCCUCUCACUCUCUCUCAGUUCACUCUCUCUCCCUCCCUCACACUCUCUUGCUUUCUCUCUCUAGAAAAGAAGGAGAAAAGAAGAAGAAGAAGAAAGGAGAAGGAAAUAAGGAAGAAAGGGAAGGAGAAGAAGAAGGAGAUCAACAAAAGAAGGCUUUUGGACUUCUCCCUCAUCCUCUCUUCUCUCUUUUAAGCUAACCUAGAGGUAAGCUUCUAACCCUAGCUUGUGAGAUUUGGGGUUUUUGGGUUUUAGCUCUUUGGAUGGGAUCAAAUGGAUCCCUAGCACCAUGAAUGGAAGGAUUAGAGCUAGAAUCUAGGAUUUUGAGAUGGGUUUAGCUUGGUGCUAACCCUAGGGCACCAAAAUAGGGUUUUUCGGUAAAGUAUGGGAUUGAUCUCAUUUGAGGCUUUGUAAACCUAAUUGGUAGGUGCCUAAACGCGAGGGCGAAGUCGGAAAUUCGAUUCGUCGAGCGGGUUGAGAACUAUCGGCAAAAUAAGGCCGGUUGAGCAUCGUUUGGACCAAGAAGACCGAGGCUUCGUCGUAAAGGACGCCGAAGCACACUUCUAGAGCCUCCUUACACGCAAAAGGUGGGGGGUGUCGUUCCGGAACAUCCGGGUUUCUUUUUAUGUCUAAGUUACAUAAGUGUUGACCAUAUUGCAUUAUAGGAUUAAUAAAUGUAUAUUUCCUUUUUCCUUGCAUGCUUCUUAGUAGUGUACCUAUGAGUUGAACACCUAGACUAGGGUAGCAUGAGGAUUGGGUCUUAUGGCAUAGAAUCCUAUAGCGGCAUAAAGAGCCGAACUUGGACAUAUGACAACCCAGUAGAGUGGCAUUAAACGAGUGGCAUGUCAACUAAUAGAAAACUUACUACAAUGAUCGAACGAGUGGCAUCGAGUCUAGUGUAGUAAAUUUGACAUGAACUUAGGGAUAGUAGAAGUCCCAACAUUGAUUAUGUAUCAAGACUGUGCAGCAGAGGCACAUUGACCCUAGUAGACAGGGUAUCCUCUUGUGAGGAUUGGAUCAUACUCACUAGUCUGUUUUUGCUUGUCGGUGGUCGCUCCACCGAGACACGAGUCUCCAGAGUACUUCACUAGGGGCAGACGUAGUUGUCCCGCUGACGGUCUCGGUGUGCGAGUGCAGUUUCUCCUCACCUAUGAGAUUGAGAGUGAGUCGAGGGUUUAACCUUCGGGUUAACCAAGUGAAUUGGGUAAGAAACAUGAAAUGCAUAGUAAACUUGCAUUAUUACCUUGAGUAGACAUAGUGUAUGUUGUAGUUUGCAUUACUAUGCUCCUUUAUAUACUCAUGACAUGAUACUAGCAUGAUAGUAGUCGUUGCAUGCAUUAUUAUCAUUGGUGGCAUGAUAGAGUAGUUGCAGUUUAUCUUUAUAUAUCUAUCUAUCUCUCUGUCUGUGCCAGCUUAGACCUAGUGGGAAAACCGGCGGCGUCGGCGGCCGAACCCACUGGGAACUAUAUUUAUAUAGUUCUCACCCCGUGUGGUUUUGGGGUACAGGUACACACAGAGGCGAGUCAAGCGAGGACCGCGGUAAGGGCAUAGCACCCUAAGUGAGUUUAGUUGGUAGCUUUUCCUUUAUGCAUUAGAGUACCCUCGUGCACUAGAUGAUGUCUGGAUAGAUAUGGGAGAGCUACUUGCAUUUUGAGGAAAAUAUGUAUUUACAUUUUGGUAGGUGAAAAAUGUAAUGCAAUCAAAUGAUGUAACUAUUGAAUGAAUGUAAUAGUUAGACUAUCUCUCUUUAUACACUAGUAUAUUACUUGUGGUUCUUGCUCUUAGGUGUAUUGCACUUGUGUGCGCUAUAUUCGAUCAUGUAUGUUAUCUAAGCAUUUCUGGGCGCUUAUUUGUACACGAUCUGGUUGUUUAGCCUUGGGCGGACAGGAGAGGUGCUGUCCGUUCGGCGUCUGUUCGACGCGCCCGAACCGGACCAAAUUGGUAGCGGCAUCUGGGCGUGACAAAAAUUUAAAUUUGGGUAGGCUCACAUAGAUUGACAAGAUCAUUUGCAAAUACGUGCAAAUAGGUUGAGACGGAGCAUGAAGGAGAUUUAGGAUAAUAAACUCAAGGAACUCAACUAUUAAUAAAGAAGAUGAAGAGUUUCAAAGAUUAAACUAUUCAAAGCAAGAUAAUAUGAAUGAAAUUUUAAUAAUAAACGAAGGUUCUAGUGUUCGAAAAGAUGAUUUUCAGAUGUUGAAUCUUAAUUUUACAAUCUGCAAUCAAAUAGGAUCAAAAUUAGAAACAAAAAUGACAUAUGCUUUCUUUUAGGCAUUUUGGCGAACAUGUAGAGGGCAUUCUGAAAAAUAUGUAGAAUAUGCAGAAUUUGGACAACUAAAUUACAUGGAGAAUAUGGGAUAAAAAUUAAUACUACAAUCAAUAUUAAUUAGAUCAAUAGAAAUUAAAUUUUAAUGGUUUUAAAUUUCAAUCAUCAAGAAAAAGAUGCACAAAAUAUUCAUAUGACAUGAACAAACGGGAUUGGAUGCUUUCAACAAUAGGUAUUAGGGAUAGAAAUGAAAGAAAGGAAUCUUCUGAAAGACAGUAACAACGAUGAUGACAAGAUACCAUCAACGGUGAACCAAAAAUGCCAAUAGAUGAGGAUUGUGGAAGCGGCGGCCACGGAUGACAGCGACGAUGAUGGUGAUCGAACGGUGUCGUGCGUGCGUGCGGGACAAGGGGAGGCAUACGGAUGUGAGGAGAAGAAAGAGAAUAAGAAAUGGAUAGGGGAAGAUAAAAUUAGGGAUUUAAUUAUUACAAUAUGCCGCCAAGUCCCUCAACUAAUAAUAUUUACGAAGAGAUCCAAAUUUCAAAGGAAUAGGGGUCAAAACAAAAGACUACGUAUGGGGUGUUACACCCGCUGUCAAUGGCGCCGCCACCUCCACCAUCCUCUCCCUCCCCCGCAGGCCGCCCCUCAUAGGGUUUAGCCAAUGGUUGGUAGGAUAGCAUGAUCUAAGGGGUGGAAUUGAUCAAUGGGUAGAUCUAAUGGUGGAACAUUGGAUAGCACUAAGUGGUUGGUACUAUUAAUAGAUCCCAACCGGACUCUCUCUCUCUCUCUCUCUCUCGCUCUCUUUUUCUCUCUCUCUCUCUAUAUAUCUCUCUCUCUCUCUCUCUCUUUCUCUCUCUCUCUCUCUAUAUAUAUAUAUAUAUAUAUAUAUAUAUAUAGAGAGAGAGAGAGAGAGAGAGAGAGAGAGAGAGAGAGAGAGAAGAGUUACUAUGCUAUCGGAAGCAUAAAAUAGUUGGUGCUUCCGAUUUUUUAGCCCUUAGAUCAACCCCGUUGAUCAUUUUUAACCAUUAGAUUAAUAUUAUUACCAAUGGGAACCACUCAACCCUAGGGGGACCACUCAACCCUAAGGGGACCGCUAUCAUCCCAACCGUAGAAUUUUUGAUCCAAGGGCUAAAAAAUCGGAAGAACCAACUACUUUAUGCUUCCGAUAGCAUAGUAGCUCUACAAUAUAUAUAUGAGUAGAGCUACUAUGCUAUCAAAAGCAUAGAGGAUCUGGUGCUUCUGACUUUUUGGCCCUUAGAUUAGCCUUCUUAAUCAUUUCUAACCUUGGGAUUAAUACUAUUAACUUGUGGAGACCACUAACCCUAGGGGUACUACUCAACCCUAGAGGGGGACCGCAAUCAUCCCAACUGUACAAUUCUUGAUCCAAGGAUCAAAAAAUUGUAAGCAUCAAAUUCUCUAUGGUUCCAAUAGCAUGGUAGCUCUACACUAUAUGUGUGUGCACGCGCGCGCGCGUGUGCGUCAACUGGACAAACAUCCCAAUUUCCAAACCCAAUUCAAAUAUCGCCAUAUUGGCUGGUCUAAGGACCUCAGGCAAUAUUACACUUGUGCUUAGUCACCUAGCAUAUAAUCCCACUACCAAAAGAUACCACAUAAGGGUUCACGGAUUGGAACACGAUCACUUUUUCGAAAAAGAACACCAUUGCGAGGGCCAAAUCGUUGGUGUAUGUGAAAUGCUUCACGAGCUGUGGCGAUCGACGUUGUAUGCUCUAUAGCCAAACCAACAAGAAAUAGCCGAGAGAAAUAACUAGAUAAUCCACCAACCAAUAAGGUCAACACAAUGUCACAAGAGAAAUGUGUAUCACCGACCGACUAGGUCAACAACUAUCAUAUAAUCAAGUAAUGCAAUAUCUAUAAAUGUGUAAUACCGAUCGCCUAGGACAACAUCUGUAAUAUAAUCAAGUAAUGAAAUAUAUAUCAAUGCGUAACACCAACCAACCAGGUCAACAUAUGUCAUAUAACCAUAUGACGUAUUGCUCUACAACUCAAGAAUAAUCUAUAUAAUGUAUCAACUGUAGUAGAGCAACUACGAUGAUAAGUCAAGUGGUGCAAAAGAUAUACUCAAGAAUACACGAGAAUAGAAAGAUAAGGAAAGGUAACCGAAUAGGCACCACUUUAUCAACUUCGAAUUGAAGCACCUACCUAUAAACCGAAUACCUAAGUUCGCGACUCCACCAAUGUCUCUAGGCGCCAUAUGAACCUAGACAUAAACACUGAGUGUCAAUAUAAAACGCUAUGUGUCUACUAUACUAACCGACACACCUAUACCACACCGAAGUGCACCACAACAUAUUUCGAAUGUCAGGUUUUCACAAUCCGACUUUCAGGAUUAGACCAACCAUAAGAUACUCUACAGGAGUUCAAACAACUCCCAAAUCUCAAAGCCGAUAGCAACCCUCGACAUUAGGUCGCCAAUGAUGUGAAUCAGUGCAAUUAGAACAUCAGUUUCUUUAUCCGAUUUUCGAACUUCGCAUAAAUCAUCACCUAAUCCUCCGAAACCUCAAACCAACCCUUAGAGUGUCCAAUGACAUGUCGUAGGCCUCCUUAGACCACAGCAAUGUCCAAACUCACCGAAUUAGGUGCUAGGACAACCACACGCAAGGUGUGACAGAACAGAAACCCCUGCCCCAAAACUUUGCUUUAACGGGUUCUGACAUACGCCAAUUUUGAUAUAGGAACUAGAGGAAGGUCAUUUGCAUAUAAUAUUGCUGGUUUUGACCAGAGAGCCCUCCACAACACAUCCCACGAGCUCUGAAGUCCAAGUGCACAAUUACUGCACGAAAAUAGCAAGACUUUGUGCCCCGAUAAGUCUAGAAGUUGUCAUUUUCGGUAAUGGGACAGCACACAACUAUAUGAUCACUUCUGAAGGCCAUUUCCUCUCGGAAUGCAACUAUGACAGUACUCUAGCCAACAAUAAGCAUGGUCAUGCCUCCUACCCUACUAGCAGUUAGGUGAACAAGGCCCAAUUCGGUACUUCAAACACCAUUUUGGUGUCGGAACGCACACACGACCUGCAUUCAACCAAAAAAUGGCCCCAACAUCACAUCACCAUAUAAUAGUGACAUGAACUCACCAACAACACCAACAACGUGACUGGAACAUCGGUUCUGACAACCGAUUUCUAAUUUAUGUCGACAUUCACGUAAAAUUGCCAAAAUAACCAUUUCGGCCUCCGAAGGGUCCUAAACCACACUUUGUGUCUCAUAUUCCCAUCUGCUAUCCCACAAUGCACUAAUUUAGGUGUCGAAUCAGCUGAACACAAAGUGCAAACUGAAAGGGGCUUCGGUAUCAAAUCUAUGCCAAUUCAAGUUUAAGAUGUGCCGUUUUUUCCCUCGGAACUCACCAUGAUCCUCACACUAUCACUAGACACAUAAAACAGUGAGGAUUGACUAGCCAACAAGGCUUGGCAAUGUCCAAAGACAGCCACGGUGAUGUUUUCAUGAACUUCAAACCAAAAUCGCAUAUUAUGAUUAAUUUCGACGAUUUAAGUGUCUAAAGUCCCAUCGAGCUUCAAAACGGUUUCCGAACUGAGUAGUCUAGGGUCAAAUACGAGUAAUUAAUGCUGCCCAAGGUAGCUCGCGAAGCACAAUUGCACAAAAUAACCAAACUUUCCAUUUAUUACAUUAUUAAAGAAGAUGAUGGAAUCAGGACUUGUUACCUAGGCUUUCGCGAUUGGAAAGCUGAACCGCCACACAUGCUAAUUGGCAGCGACGCUCUGAACACUGUGCUUCACCUCCGAGGCAUCAAAAAAGCCACAACAAAAGUGCGGAAAUGCGGGCGCCCAUCAAGCGGGGUGACGGAUGAUGAUGAAUUUUUUUUGUUCCUUCAAAAUACGGCCCACGAGCGCAAUCAAUGCAACUCAACACUCGGGCACCUCUACUUAGCCAAGGUGAGCAUGGCGAUAAAGGUGGUCGAGGGGUCACCAUGCUCUACCAAACCAGGGUAGCCAACAGCCAAGAUGGCCGGAACAAUGGCCACAGGUCUAGGGCCACUCAAAGCUAGCAGCAAUAGUGGAACAGCGGCAGUUCAGAGGCUUUGCGCGCGACUAGGGUGGUCAGAGUCGGCCAAGGACGGUUGGAGGUAGGCCGAGGGUCGUCGUGCUCCACCUUUCAUAGGCCGUCAGCUAUGAAGAUCCCAGUAUCUAAACCAGGGUUGGGGCAAAUUUGCUGCAGGGAACAUCGUAGCUUGAGGGAAGCUUUGAGAAGGGUCACCAGCGUCAUUGAAGGAAAGGUCGCCAGAGUAGUGGAGGUCGGUGACGGCAGUAAGAUGGCGGCCAAACCCCGCACGUGCGCGAGCGAGAGAGAGAGAGAGAGAGAGAGAUCUACAGGGAUAGAAAAAGGUAGAGACUUGGGCUGCCCCCCUUUACCCCUACCCCCACCUCGCGCCACACACAUUGAUAUCUUGAGGCAGCAGCGACUGGGUGAGGGGAUGAGAGAUGUCUAUUUAGGCUGCUAUUAUUAUUAUUAUUAUUAUUAUUAUUAUUAUUAUUUUUCUUUUCUUUAAUUGUAACAAUUGCAGGUCAGUUCCUAUAGCUCUCCUUACUCAUUAUGACCCUCUAUUAGUCCAUUUCGCAUAGGAGUCCUCCAUUAUGAAAAGUUUUAUUUUUCACAAAUAAAAUGAUAGCUUUCUCACAGAUGGCUCAUUUCCUAAUUUUGUAAAAACUAUAUUUUAGCCCCUCUGGUUCACAAUUUUGCUCAAAACUCUGGCAGGUGUAACUUGCAAAGUAGUACCUGUAAGGUACCGGACUUCUAAAACUAUUAAGUUACGGUGUACAUUCGAUUGGAGAGCUCUUUGAAUGGUUCAAGUGAAGUUCGGUGAAGUUCGGGAGCUAUCGGGCGUUUCGGUGCGCGUAGGCGCGGAAACGGAACCCGAAAGGCUAGGUUGGGCCGUGAGCUAAAUCCGGCAUUAGCGAGGAUGGAAAGAUGAUGAAAACAUGUUUGAAAACAUGUUUGGAGAGUCUCGGUUCGAUUUGAGACGAAUCGGAGGUCAAACGAAUGAAAACGAGCGAAAACGGACGAAGCUGAAAAUUGGCUAAGUCUGGGCUGGAGGUCUCUCUGGGACCGGUCCCAGGGAGAGAGACCGGUCUCUGAGAGACCGGUCCCUCAUGCAGAGACCGGUCCCCGAACCCCGAAAAUGCCCAGUUCGGGCNUGUGCCGAUUUUGUCAAUCGAUCCACUAUUUCCCAUAUCGCAUCGUGUCCGCCUUGUAAUCGAGGCAAACCGGUAACAAAGUCCAUUGCUAUAUCUUCCCAUUUCCAAACGGGUAUUGGUAGACUUUGUAGCUUUCCCGCCGGAAAUCGGCGCUCAGCUUUUACUUGUUGGCACGUUAGACAUUGCGCCACGAACUCCCCAAUAUCUCUUCUCAUACCCUGCCACCAAUAGUGCUCUUUCAAAUCCUUGUACAUUUUAGUGCCGCCGGGGUGUAUACUAUAGGGAGAUUGAUGUGCCUCUUGCAUGAUCGCCCUUCGCAACUCAUCAUUUUUAGGCACACACCAUCGAUUUCGAAAUCGAAGUGCGCCAUCAACUCCAAUGCCAAAAUCUUCGGCUUUACCGCUCUGAACAUCACCUCGAACCUUUUGGAGAUAAGGAUCCGAAGCUUGGAGAUCCUUAAUUCUUUCCAAUAGGGUCGGUUGCACAACCAACGUGGCAACUGUAGCCGGCACUCCCCGCGCUACCACUUCCAACCUGAAUCGUUGCAUCUCCUUCUGUAACUGCGAUUGGGGCGUAAUUGCCGUCGCUAAGUUCUCCGCCGAUUUUCUACUCAAGGCAUCGGCCACAACAUUGGCUUUUCCGGGGUGGUAUAAUAUGGUGACAUCAUAGUCCUUUAGCAACUCUAACCACCGCCGCUGCCGCAUAUUCAGCUCCUUCUGGGUGAACAAGUAUUUUAGACUCUUGUGAUCGGUGUAUACCUCACAAUGUUCACCAUACAAGUAAUGCCUCCAAAGCUUUAGCGCGAAAAUCACCGCGGCUAACUCGAGGUCGUGAAUCGGGUAGUUCUUCUCGUAGCUCUUUAAUUGGUGCGAUGCAUAAGCAAUAACUCGCCCAUUUUGCAUUAAUACACACCCGAGACCAACAUACGAGGCAUCACUGUACACUACAAAAGUCUCUCCCGGAGUCGGCAAAGCAAGCACCGGGGUCGACGUCAACCUGUUCUUUAACUCUUCGAAGCACCGAUCGCAAUCGUCGCUCCAAACAUACAUUACUCCUUUAUGCGUGAGGCGCGUUAGUGGAGUGGUUAUUUUGGCGAACCCCUCCACGAACCGCCGGUAGUAGCCCGCUAGUCCAAGAAAACUGCGGAUCUCCGCUACAUUCGUUGGGCGAGGCCAAUCCUUGAUCGCCUCUACUUUCUUCGGGUCUACCGAAACUCCGUCGCCCGAUACCACAUGACCCAAGAAUGUGACCUCCUUUAGCCAAAAGUCACAUUUCUUCAACUUUGCAUAGAGCUUCUCUUGUCUGAGUAUCUGCAACACAGCUCUCAGAUGCUCUUCAUGCUCCUCUUCGCUUUUUGAAUAGACCAAUACGUCGUCUAUAAACACAACGACGCAUCGAUCCAACAACGGCCUAAAGACUCGAUUCAUCAAGUCCAUAAAUGCUGCCGGGGCAUUAGUAAGCCCAAACGGCAUUACCGUGAACUCAUAAUGGCCAUACCGCGUACGGUACGCCGUUUUGUGUACAUCCUUCGGCCUGAUCUUUAAUUGAUGAUACCCCGAUUGGAGAUCAAUCUUCGAAUACACCUUGGACCCUUGCAACUGAUCGAAUAGAUCGUCAAUCCUUGGCAACGGGUACUUGUUCUUUAUCGUUACUUUGUUCAACUCGCGAUAAUCUACGCAGAGUCGAAGUGUGCCAUCCUUUUUCUUCACAAAUAGCACCGGAGCUCCCCACGGUGACACACUCGGCCUCACGAAGCCCUUAUCGAGCAAGUCUUGCAGUUGACCUUUUAGCUCCUUUAACUCUACCGGUGCCAUUCUCUACGGAGCCUUCGAAACUGGUUCCGCCCCGGGAAUCAAGUCAAUGACAAACUCAACUUCCCGGUCCGGUGGCAGUCCCGGUAACUCCGCCGGAAAUACAUCCGGGUACUCGCAUACUACUCGAAUAUCUCCCAACUCUGGGUACUCCUUUCGAGCAUCCACCAUGGUUGCCAAAUAGGCCUUACACCCUCCUUUGAUCAUUUUCUUCGCCCUUACAGACGAUAUGGUCGCCGCGAAGCGCCUACUUUUGCACGCUUGGUAGACUAACUCUUCUUGAUUAGGCUCACGAAAAGUGAUCACCUUGCUUUCACAAUCUAUCACCGCAUAGUACUUGGAGAGCCAGUUGGUCCCCAAGAUAACAUCAAAUCCCCACAUCUGAUCUAGCACUAGCAGAUCGAUCGGCAUAAUCCAAUCGCUUAUUUGCACUGGACACGCCAAACACUCGUUAUGGACACUGAAUGAAUGUUCUGGGGCAUUCACCCACCAGUAGUCCUCAUUGUACACCAUCUCUAUGCCAUGUGUUUUAGCAAAUGAAAUGCUAAUGAAUGAAUGAGAUGCGCCUGUAUCAAACACUGCUCUAGCUCUAGUGCCUUUAAUCACAAUUAUACCUGCCACGACGUCGUCGGGUGCUGCAGGUUGUUGCUCCUCCACCUGAGCGGCAAAGUCUCGGCCGCUAGGUGCUCUCGAUCCCUCCGGCUGACGCGGUGAUGACGCGCGCCCAGCCGACAUCGCCGGUGGUAACCCCGCAAGCUGUCUCGGGGUAGACGGUGUUGAAGCCGCCGUUGGCGCAGACGACGUCCACGACGGGCACUCCCGGAUAAGAUGUCCCGGUUUGCCACAUUUGAAACAUUUGCCGUCUCGCUGCGGGCAAGUCGACACCUUGUGCUCUCCGCCACAUAUAACACAUCGAGGCGGUCUCCAAUUCCUUGCCUGCUGUCGGGGAUACCGAGGGGGUUUCUUAGCAUUUGGCCGGCCCCCGGCACCACCCGCCGUCCUCUUCUUGCCUUUGUCCUUGGACUCGGCCAUAGCUUCUCUCUCUUCAUGUACAUGGGCGCUACCGUGUUCCGCCCACAAGGCUCUAUCGAAGACCUCCGCAAAGGUCGACAACUUCAAGAUCUGCACUUUCUCAUAAAUCCGGGGUUGGAGUCCUCGCAAGAACCAAUCCGCCCGGUCCCGAUCAUCGCGAACAACAUCGGGAACGCAGUCAAUAAUGUGGGAGAAUUCUUGCUCAUACUCUCCCACCGAUCGAUCGCCCUGUCUUAACUUGCGGA